UACGUAGGGUGCAAGCGUUAAUCGGAGUUACUGGGCGUAAAGCGUGCGCAGGCGGUGAUGUAAGACAGUUGUGAAAUCCCCGGGCUCAACCUGGGAACUGCAUCUGUGACUGCAUCGCUGGAGUACGGUAGAGGGGGAUGGAAUUCCGCGUGUAGCAGUGAAAUGCGUAGAUAUGCGGAGGAACACCGAUGGCGAAGGCAAUCCCCUGGACCUGUACUGACGCUCAUGCACGAAAGCGUGGGGAGCAAACAGG
rnacentral:rRNA from 1 species